UACCCAACUUAUAUGGCAUUACACAAGCAGCAACAUAGCAAUACAAUCUCAGAGUCCGACUUAGAAACAUUAGAAUAAUCCAUAUAAGAUAGUACGUACUCUUCAGAAGACAACCGAACACAAAGCAAAUGCUUAUACUAGAAAAAAACACGAUAGACUAAUCCACACAGCUCUUUUCUCAGUUUCCUCAUUCAGUUGCUUUUCCUUUGCGCCUGCUGCUACAGCUGGUUUCUAUGAGGUAACAAACCAUGGAAUCCACAUCAUCGCCGAAUAUGCUAUAAGCCUCAAUCACUCGUGGAUAGCUGAAACCCAUAGAUAGCAUAACCUGGAUGCAGUCGUUAAAGGCAGAAUCUGGCGAACUCAGCUCUUGCCCAGCUUCCUGCCGUUUCUCACUUCCUGAUGACCUAGUUCCUGAAGAUGAUGGUUCAGCACCGGAUGUGGAAGAUUCUCGACGACCAAGCUGUUGCCGGAACUUGUUAUCAUGCGCAAUAUACUCAGCCCUAGAAGCUUCAAUCACCAUCCGUUCCAUCUCCUUUUCAGUGAGCUCAACAUCUGAGUAGAAGCGUCCUUCAGCAAGAAGCGCGUUAUCGAUCUGUUGGUCCUGUUGAGCUUUAAUUGCAGCUUUUACAUUAUCCUUGUCGACGUUUUUCCCUCGCAAAGAGCUAAACCCAAGUCCAG
rnacentral:misc_RNA from 1 species